AAGAAUGAAACUCCUUGUCUCUGUUAGAAAUGAGCAUCAAAAGGAUAUAUCAAUUCAUUAAAAUCAAAAGGGCAUGAGUUAUCAGAAUUCCUUCUCCUGAAAGAAAGUGGAGAUCAAAUGUAGAACUUCUAAAGAGAAUGAGAUAAAAGCAGAUAAAAGAAGGUAACAAAAUAUUACAUGACUUGAUAACAUUGCACCCAUAUGAAAACCUUACGAAAUCAACUCAUUCUAGUGACCGUUUGUUUUUCUUCUUGUCCUAAUACUUUUUUUUUCUCUUGCAAUGAUAUUGAUCCUUCUGCACCCGGCAUCAAGUCUGCUUUUGUAGAGGAUGUUAAGAACACAGGAAAAUGGAAUCAGUGACUUUGCCUGCAAUCCUGUAGCAGCAGGGGUGCCCAUUUCCUCUCUCCUGAAGAAUGCCACAUUCUGCACUGUCUUCCACAAGUUUCAACAUAAGAGCAUGAACAUACAGAGUCACCAUUACUACCCUCACCACCAACACCAUAUUCACCCUUUUGAUCUGCAGACUUCCUUCAAGGCCUCCCGAAGUCACCCAGAAAUGCGUUUUCCCAAGAGUGAGUUGUGCUGACUUUUUAUCCUGUGGAACUCUGGGAAGUUACCCUGUUCCUCAUCUCUUGGCAUCUUGCUGACUGCAUGUUCCAGGCUCUGCAUUGAAGCCCCAGUGAUUGCCGAUGACUGUACGACCUAAGGUAUAUCCUCAAUCAUUUCUUGGCCUCAGCUUCUUCACCACUAAAUUCUGGGUGCUGGAGUUGGAAAUAUUUCAGGUUCUUUUCAACUGGAAAUGCCUAUGCUAAUAAUUUUAGUAAGGCAAUAUCCAUAGAAACCUACUGACAAACUGAGUAUUUAAUAGAGUUGUACUUCCUUAAUUUUUACCAGAAGGGAAUGCAUAUGUAUAAUAUCUAUGUUGCCUUAUACGUGUAAAAUUAAAUACACAGACAC